ensembl:snRNA U6 U6 spliceosomal RNA
GUGCUCGUUUCAGUAGUACAUAUACUAAAAUCGGAAUGAUAUAGAGAAAAUUAGCAUGGCCCCUGUGCAAGGAUGACACACAAAUUUGUGAAGCAUUCCAUAUUUUU